rnacentral:tRNA from 1 species
AGAGAGUUACCUAAGUGGUUAAAGGAACGGUUUGCUAAACCGUAGUCGGGCAACUGGCUCGUGAGUUCGAUCCUCACACUCUCUA